rnacentral:rRNA from 1 species
GAUCAUGGCCAGGAUGAACGCUAGCGGCAGGCUUAACACAUGCAAGUCGAGGGGCAGCGGGGUGUAGCAAUACACUGCCGGCGACCGGCGCACGGGUGCGUAACGCGUAUGCAACCUACCCAUAACAGGGGCAUAACACUGAGAAAUUGGUACUAAUUCCCCAUAACAUUCGAAGAGGCAUCUCUUUGGGUUGAAAACUCCGGUGGUUAUGGAUGGGCAUGCGUUGUAUUAGCUAGUUGGUG